rnacentral:tRNA from 1 species
UAUGUGGCUCAGUGGCAGAGCGCUUGCCUCGCACGCAUGAAGCACUGGGUUUGAUCCUCAGCACCACAUAA